AGGCCAGCAGUGAAGGCCCAAAUACUGGCAGAUUUCAUAGUAGAGUGUACCAUCCCAGAGGAGGCUGAACCUGAACAAAGUGAAGUUGACGACCUGAAGUCCCAACCGAACUCCCCCGAAGAAGAGGCCGAUCCUGCUAAUCGCUUUUGGGCCCUCUAUGUGGACGGAUCUUCUAACAUGUCGGGCACAGGUGCGGGCC
rnacentral:lncRNA from 1 species